CCACGCUGGCCCUGAUUUAUGGCCAUCUCAGUCGGACUCCCUACCAAAUCCACCCGCUGCCUUUCUUGUUCAGUGGAGAUGCCUAUGCUUGAGCUGAUAGGAUGUGGUCUGGUUCGUCACACUGAACCUGAGGACACAGCUGAUGCCUCCGAGUAGCACUCUGAUGUUCCCAGUUCCUCCUCUCUCACACAGCAUUAAAAAGUCUGGAUAAAAGGUAAGAAAUAGGCUUUAUUAACUUUAAAUAUGCAUGAUGUUUCUGAGAAAAGUGCAGUGCGGCAUUGAGAAACGUCCAAAAGCUUGACUACUUAUUUUUUCCCUCUUCCUCUCUCCUUCUCAAAAAUAGUUAAUAAUUGAAAACAGAGAAGGAAAGGAAAGGGGGGAAAAGACACCAAGAUUCUGACACACUCUGCAUAAACAUCUGCUUAUUAGUGACCCUAGAUGCCACACACAGUCACAGCGGCUCUGAAGCACCCCGCUGAGAGCUCAGAUGUCAGAGGUCGGCCUUCACCAUCAUAACCUCUACAGACGUGUCUUCCGGUCUUUCACAGAAAAGUGUGAUUAUUCCUGCCAGGGCCCUGUAAGAGGACGUCCUUCAUGGUUCUCUCUCAGUGAUGGAUUAACACCCGGCCGGUUAAUGAAUGACCCUCUUCUGACCUCAGUGUACUGGACCCCGCAGAUGCAUGUGACCUUCCCAUGA
ensembl:lncRNA